AAACGAGCUUGACCAGAUGUCGUUUAGAUUAAAAUAUCAUAGUGGCCAAAACCCCAACUCAGCGUUCUAAAACCUCGAGAACCAAAGAUCUCAUUUUCGCAGCGCCACCGGAAACUACAAGCUAUAUAAACUUGGUAGCUAUAUUCGCAAUCACUUUCCUCGAAUGAGAAGGUUCACGUUGUUAUCGCCGUAUCGGCGCCAUUUUCUUUCUUCCAUUGCAUCACAACCUCUCGUUCAUGAAAUUGAUUCGUUCCGGAAAUUAUUCUCAUCUCAUCAAUCGUUGUUGCUUUCACGAAGUUUGUUCGGUUGCAGUUUUGAUACGAAAAAAGAGGAUUAUCUAAUUCCAGGAAUUCCAUUCAGAUAUCGUUAUGUUUAUGCUACAGCAGCAUAUUCUUCUUCAGCUGAACGAAACUAUUAUCAGAUACUUGGUGUUGGUGAAAAUGCUAGUCAGGAUGAGAUAAAGAAGGCAUUUCACUCGCUUGCUAAAAAGUACCAUCCAGAUGCAAAUAAGAGUAAUCCAUCAGCAAAGAGGAAAUUUCAAGAUGUAAGAGAAGCUUAUGAGACAUUAAGAGACUCUAAAAAGAGGGCCGAGUAUGACAAGAUGCGUGCUCACGGUUCAGAGAAUAUGGGAUAUGGUAACAAUUACGAUGAUGCAGAAAGAUUUAGAAAGGCCUAUCGUUCUCAUUUUUCUGAUUCAUUUCAUCAAGUAUUCUCUGAGAUAUUUGAAGAAGCAACAACUCAGUUCUCAUCAAAUAUAGAGGUGGAGCUAUCACUUACCUUCUCGGAAGCCGCGAGAGGAUGCACCAAAAAUGUGUCAUUUGAUGCAGCAGUUCCCUGUGAUAAUUGUGAUGGACGGGGACAUCCACAAAAUGCUACCCGAACAGUUUGUCCAUCAUGCAGGGGUGCCGGUCGAGUUACAAUCCCACCAUUUACAUCAACAUGCAUUACUUGUAAAGGAUCUGGCCGCAUUAUUAAGGAGUUUUGUUUGUCUUGUGGAGGAUCUGGGGUUAUUGAAGGGAUUAAAGAGGUUAAAGUUACCAUACCAGCAGGUGUGGAUUCAGGAGAUACAAUCCAUGUGCCAGAAGGUGGGAAUGCUGCUGGAAGUGGUGGUCGACAUGGGAGUUUAUACAUUAAAAUAAAGGUGGAUGAGGAUCCAGUCUUUUCGAGGGAUGGUGCAGAUAUCUACGUGGAAUCUAAUAUUAGCUUUACACAGGCUAUUCUUGGUGGCAAAGUUGAGGUGCCUACUUUAUCAGGGAAGAUGCAAGUAAAGAUACCUAAGGGUGUUCAACCAGGACAGCUGCAAGUAUUUAGAGGCAAAGGACUGCCAAAGCAUGGGUAUUUUGUACAUCAUGGCAAUCAGUAUGUGCGUUUCCGUGUAAAGUUUCCCACUGCAAUCAAUGAACGACAACGUGCUAUACUUGAAGAAUUUGCAAAGGAGGAAAUAAAGGAGGGAAAUAGUUCAAUAUCUGAAGGAAAUUGGUGGCAGCAAAUUAUUGAAUACAUGACGGCUCCAAAGUCUAUGCUGGAACUGUCCAUGGUAAUAUUGUUCCUUGUUUUAAUGAGCAAAAUGUUGAGCUGAUACCUUGCUCGAAGUGCAAACGGGAUUGAAGUGGACUUGUCAAACACAAAUUCUUGUGAUUGCUGUACUCUUCAUCCUCUCAGACUAUGUACAGUACAAGGGUUAAUGCUCCUUUUAUCGGUUGAUUUUUUUGGCUUGUUCCUGCACUUGUGAUUCAUUAUGUACCCAAAAAGUAGAAGGAAGAAAUUCACUGUAUUGAUGCUGAACUUCAGGCUUCUUUCAAAGUGAGAUGUCAAGUUACAAGAGAAAAGAGAAAACUAAAUACCCAGGCAAUACACUUGUCAGUCUAUUCCAAAGAGUCCUAACCAAUUCCAGUAUAUCUCCGCCAUGAUGUUUCGAAUCUUAAUUCAUCUAGCAUGCAAUUUCAUUCCACUGUCAAAUUGUGUCAAUGGACUGACUUCUUCCACUGAUGAAUGAAUUCUAUCAUUUAACCUGGGACAGCUCCAUGAAGAAGCAUACAUCAACUAAAUGCUUAUGAUUAUGCUAGAAAGUUUGUGACCGAUCAUGAUUGCCUACACACACCUUAUAUGUCAGAAAUUAGCUUUCUUGUAGAGAGAUUGGAGCAAGUGGCAAUCUGAGAUCCAUCAAGUAUAGGAAUAAGUGAAUGGACUAAGGAAAUCAAGGCUGUAUCGUUGAAAGAUGCUAUUUCUUGGAGUCCUGUCCAAUUUUUACUGUUGAACUAUCAGAGUAAGAUUGCAAGUUAAACGACAGUGAAAAUUUAUUUGAUGAAGAAUUCUUCCACAGUUUAAUUGAUUAUUGAUUUCCAAUCAAAGAUGGAAACUAUUCAUUUUCAAUAUAUUUUUUCUUGUUCAUUGAUUUUGUUU